CGGUGUUCAACUGGCGUGUCCGCGGGACGUCCUGCCGGUGGGCUUAGCCCGCAAGGGCGGCCCCAACUUCAAAUCCCAUCGCGGUGCUCUUCACUGAGUGUCGAGGUGGGCCGGCACGUUUACUUUGAACAAAUUAGAGUGCUUAAAGCAGGCUAAAACUUCGCCUGAAUACUGUGUGCAUGGAAUAAUGGAAUAGGACCUCGGUUCUAUUUUGUUGGUUUUCGGAACCCCCGAGGUAAUGAUUAAUAGGAACGGAUGGGGGCAUUCGUAUUGCGACGUUAGAGGUGAAAUUCUUGGAUCGUCGCAAGACGGACAGAAGCGAAAGCAUUUGCCAAAAACGCUUUCAUUGAUCAAGAACGAAAGUUAGAGGUUCGAAGGCGGUCAGAUACCGCCCUAGUUCUAACCAUAAACGAUGCCAGCUAGCGAUCCGUCGACGUUCCUCCGAUGACUCGACGGGCAGCUUCCGGGAAACCAAAGCUUUUGGGUUCCGGGGGAAGUAUGGUUGCAAAGCUGAAACUUAAAGGAAUUGACGGAAGGGCACCACCAGGAGUGGAGCCUGCGGCUUAAUUUGACUCAACACGGGAAACCUCACCAGGCCCGGACACCGGAAGGAUUGACAGAUUGAGAGCUCUUUCUUGAUUCGGUGGGUGGUGGUGCAUGGCCGUUCUUAGUUGGUGGAGCGAUUUGUCUGGUUAAUUCCGAUAACGAACGAGACUCUAGCCUGCUAACUAGGCGUAUUUUCGACAUCUCAAAGGUCCGUCGUCCCGGCCCUCGGGUCGUGGGCGUGCGCGAUUUUUACUGUCGGCGUACUAUCAAUUCUUCUUAGAGGGACAGGUGGCUUCUAGCCGCACGAGAUUGAGCAAUAACAGGUCUGUGAUG
rnacentral:rRNA from 1 species